rnacentral:rRNA from 1 species
GACGAACGCUGGCGGCGUGCCUAAUACAUGCAAGUAGAACGCUGAAGAGAGGAGCUUGCUCUUCUUGGAUGAGUUGCGAACGGGUGAGUAACGCGUAGGUAACCUGCCUUGUAGCGGGGGAUAACUAUUGGAAACGAUAGCUAAUACCGCAUAACAAUGGAUGACACAUGUCAUUUAUUUGAAAGGGGCAAUUGCUCCACUACAAGAUGGACCUGCGUUGUAUUAGCUAGUAGGUGAGGUAACGGCUCACCUAGGCGACGAUACAUAGCCGACCUGAGAGGGUGAUCGGCCACACUGGGACUGAGACACGGCCCAGACUCCUACGGGAGGCAGCAGUAGGGAAUCUUCGGCAAUGGGGGCAACCCUGACCGAGCAACGCCGCGUGAGUGAAGAAGGUUUUCGGAUCGUAAAGCUCUGUUGUAAGUCAAGAACGAGUGUGAGAGUGGAAAGUUCACACUGUGACGGUAGCUUACCAGAAAGGGACGGCUAACUGCGUGCCAGCAGCCGCGGUAAUACGUAGGUCCCGAGCGUUGUCCGGAUUUAUUGGGCGUAAAGCGAGCGCAGGCGGUUUGAUAAGUCUGAAGUUAAAGGCUGUGGCUCAACCAUAGUUCGCUUUGGAAACUGUCAAACUUGAGUGCAGAAGGGGAGAGUGGAAUUCCAUGUGUAGCGGUGAAAUGCGUAGAUAUAUGGAGGAACACCGGUGGCGAAAGCGGCUCUCUGGUCUGUAACUGACGCUGAGGCUCGAAAGCGUGGGGAGCGAACAGGAUUAGAUACCCUGGUAGUCCACGCCGUAAACGAUGAGUGCUAGGUGUUGGAUCCUUUCCGGGAUUCAGUGCCGCAGCUAACGCAUUAAGCACUCCGCCUGGGGAGUACGACCGCAAGGUUGAAACUCAAAGGAAUUGACGGGGGCCCGCACAAGCGGUGGAGCAUGUGGUUUAAUUCGAAGCAACGCGAAGAACCUUACCAGGUCUUGACAUCCCGAUGCUAUUUCUAGAGAUAGAAAGUUACUUCGGUACAUCGGUGACAGGUGGUGCAUGGUUGUCGUCAGCUCGUGUCGUGAGAUGUUGGGUUAAGUCCCGCAACGAGCGCAACCCCUAUUGUUAGUUGCCAUCAUUCAGUUGGGCACUCUAGCGAGACUGCCGGUAAUAAACCGGAGGAAGGUGGGGAUGACGUCAAAUCAUCAUGCCCCUUAUGACCUGGGCUACACACGUGCUACAAUGGUUGGUACAACGAGUUGCGAGUCGGUGACGGCAAGCUAAUCUCUUAAAGCCAAUCUCAGUUCGGAUUGUAGGCUGCAACUCGCCUACAUGAAGUCGGAAUCGCUAGUAAUCGCGGAUCAGCACGCCGCGGUGAAUACGUUCCCGGGCCU